CUUUCACCGUUAAAUCGUGCUCUCCAAUGCGAACGUACAGACGUUUCCUAAUGCAAUGCGCGGCCGUCAAUACCCAUUGUGGGGAUACUAAUGUUCCGCCGCAGAAAGCUUCCUGGAAAACUGUCGAUUUAGCAAAAAUGUAAGAUUUAUGUCGCCAUUACAUAACGUACUCGAAAUCGAUUUAACACAGCCACUUGCCACGGCCAACUUCCAGGUGUAGUUGGACGGCCGCCGAUAAUUCGCAUAAAGUAUUUACUUUCGCCAUCUUCUUCGUGACUACCACGAAUCUUUCGAUGGAUCCAUCUUUGGCAAAAGCUACCUUCGACGUAACAGUAGGCGCUCUCUCGUAUCACAUCGCGUCCGCAGAUGCCAGGUUUUCUGCACCAUCUAAUCAGUAUCGAAUGAGUAUAUAUUCAUUGACAUUAGUUAUAUAAUUGUAUAAAUUUUAUAUAGUAUACCUAUGACGUUGCGUAGUGCACAGCCUCGUGCAAGGCGACCAUUUGCUCCAUUUCCCGUAAUGUCCUCCGGAGUGUUCUUUAAUAUCCUUACCUCUUCGAUUUCCAUGCCUAGGCUCUGCUUCUUUAGGUACCUGCCGAGAGAGCAUAUAUACAUUAUUAACUAAAAAUCGAAAGCGAUUUGUAUCGAGGAAAAGAGCGACUCACCUGGACCACGUGAAAUCUUUCAUCCCUUCGUCGGUGUCUUCGGCGUUGGCGUUGCUUGCAUCGUCUUCGACGACCUUCUCUCUUAUGUUGACAACCGCGUUCUUCCUAUUAUAUUAUGACAAGCCAAUAGUAUUGAUUUAUAUUAUAAGAUAAUACGAUAUAUGACAACAAAAUAUUUUUCCAUAACUACAUAUAAACGAAUUUAUUUUUAUGUCAUUGCAAAUUCAAUAUGAAUGAAUACACGUAUAUAUGUGUAUUAUAAGAGAAUAUAUUUUAUCAUAUAAUGUGUCUCGAUCUUUGAAAGAUCACUCGUGAUAUGUCAUAAAUACAUUCAUAUAUUUUUACCCUAA